rnacentral:pre_miRNA from 1 species
CGUCAUUGCAAUAUGCGUGCAUUUUAUCCAAUGUUUGAUGCAGCAUAUUGCAGUGGUGUC